GGGGAUGUAAGGCUUUCGACAAAGAUUGAUCUUUCAAAAAUCGCAAUCCGGGGUUCGCGCUGUCGCCCCGUAGAUCCGUCCAGCGCAACAUAAGUGCUGAUGCACAAGAAAUGGCUUUGGUUGCAAAACUGAAGCAGCUUAGACCAGUAAUGGCCUUUGCCUAAAUCUUUCCCCUUUAGUGGGAAAGUCGCUUACUCCCUGAUUUCUGCUGGGGGAAAUAAGUGUCACUUAGCAGGAUAAGCCUGCCGAAGCUCCGCCGGCGGGACGAAAAUUAAAGGAGAUAAGCUUUGUGAGUUUUUUGUCCGUCUUUUAUUCACAAGGCCGAAAAUUUAAAACGGACUAUGAUUGUAGAAGUUUUUGAUCGCAGUUUUUGGACCCGGGUUCAAUUCCCGGCAUCUCCACCA
rnacentral:tmRNA from 1 species